rnacentral:lncRNA from 1 species
UUAAACAGUCUUCAUGUAUCUAUAGCACUUGCAAUCAAUCAAAUUCAUUGUAUUCUAACAUAUUCUAACCCCAAACAACACUAGAUAAGUCAUUUAGUGGUUCAACGCAAUGUUUCCUAGUUCUUAGCCCAUUUGGGACCUAAUUUCAACAAGUCUUUCUCCACACUUUUAAACGCUCUUCAUGCACCUCUAGCACUUGUAAUUAAUCAAAUAUAAUUUAUUCUAACAUAUUCUAACCCCUAACAACAUUAGACAAGCAAUUUCAUUCUUCAAAGCAAUGGUUGUGGGUUGUUGUCCCAUUUUGGAGCAAAUUUCAGCAAGUCUUCCUAGACACUUUUAAACACUCUUUAUCUAUCUCUAUUACUUGUAAUCAAUCAACGUAAUUGUAUUCUAACAAAUUAUAACCAAAAACAACACUAAAUAAGUCAUUUAGUGGUUCAACACGAUGUUUCCGAGUUUUUAGCUCAUUGGGACCUAAUUUCAACAAGUCUUUCUCCACACUUCUAAACACUCUUCAUGCACCUCUAGCACUUGUUAUCAAUCAAAUUUAUUGUAUUCUAACAUAUUCUAACCCCAAACAACAUUAUACAAGACAUUUAAUGCUUCAAAGCAAUGGUUGUGGGUUCUUAGCUCAUUUUGGACCAAAUUUCAGCAAGUCUCUCUACACAUUUUUAAACACUCUUCAUGCAUCUCUAGCACUUGAAAUCAAUCAAAUUCAUUGUAUUCUAACAAAUUCUAACCCCAAACAACACUAGAUAAGUCAUUUAGUGGUUCAACGCAAUGUUUCAUAGUUCUUAGCCCAUUUGGGACCCAAUUUCAACAAGUCUUUCUCCACACUUCUAAACACUCUUCAUGCAGCUCUAGCACUUGUAAUUAAUC